GUGUCCAGCUUGCCCAGAUCAGAUCCUACUUAGUGAGGAUGUCACCUGGUGAGGCAGCAAGACUGUGCAAGGUUAAGGAGCUCCAGUGGGUGCGACCUUAGCAGAAUCAAGCAGGAGGCAGGGAUGUCAGGCCUUAGGACUUCCCUACUCGCAGUAUCUGGAAGCUCAGAGGUCUAGACAGCUGCCUCUGGAUUCUAGGAACUUCUGCAUCAGCAUCUACCUGCCCAGGUUACCAGAGGUCAGCCGAGGUGCAGAGCCCACGACCCUCCUUCUGAUGAGUCUCUGGAAGGUCGGUAGUAGCCCAGCUCUAUGUCACCGUGCCUGCAACCCUCACUCACCUCCUAUCAUGUCAUCAGGCAGGCACUUCUCACCUCACCUCCUCACAAGUAGGGUAUGAACAUAUAGGGAAAACUGGUACUUAUAGACUUCAGUACUACCUGCAGCUUCAGACACCCUCUGGGGGCUUGGGACGUACCCCCUCCAGCGAGGAGUUAUUAAAAAUGAAAACCCCACCGUAUAUUCAGGGAGUUACGCCUCAGUGCAGUAGGACUAUAAAAUCCAUCUUCAUCUCUAGGAAAUGUAAUGAAUUAAUGUCAUUCCUGUGGAUGCAUCUGCCCAACAAACGUUUAAGGGGAGACGCUUGGCAUCGAUUCGCUGCUGCCUUCUCACUGCACACAGGACUUUGCCAGAUUGACGUGCCAGUAAUUCCAUUUGGAAACAAUGAGUUGUCCAGAUUUUCUGCUGACAUUGGCAAACAGUGCCUUGCAGGGCACAUUUUAAAAAGCGGGGUUGGAAUUUGAGGUUGAACUGUUGACAGACCUGAGGGAAGGGAACUCUGCAGGGUGAGAGAAAGAGGGAGAUUUCUGGAGACAAAUGACGUAACAACUGCAGAGAUCAAGUCCUCUUUCCAUUAGAAAAGCUUUAGGAGACGUGCACACGUAGGUUAAGUGAUGAGACACAAUGGCUAAAUGGCACAACAAAGUCGGAUAUAUAUGACGUACACCUUGGGGGGAUGGUGCGUCAUAAUAGGACCCGGGAGUGUUUCAGAGACAACACGGAUGACUGCACGUGAAGCCGUGUGCUAUACCAUUGGUAUGAAAAGGUAGAGCAUCGUUUAUGGAAAAAAGCCCAGGAAGGGGGCAGAUGGAGGAGAGUCAGAGGACGAUCUCAGCCUGCUAACCCAAAGAACACUUAGCUCAUCUGUGGACGGGGAAAAUAGCAUUACAUUACAGGGUGAUUGUAUUGGUGCCUGUCACAUGGAAGAUGCCACAAAAGUAAAGACUACCAUUUUUGUAGUAAAAGAAGUUAAACAGUCCAAACAAUAUUAGGGUGGAAAGCAGAGCACUCUUUUGGGGGGCGUCACAUAAAGGCAUUUGGUGUAUGCUUACUUCCGGGGAAAAGAGAUUGGAAGAUAUAAAGGAGAAAAUGUAAGAGGUAAAUUGGAUGGAUUGCAGGGCCCAAGGAAUUAAAUAUCUGUUUGUUAAGUCAUCCAACCAGGAUUUAUAGAAUAUCUGCUAUGUGCCCGGCAUUGUUCUAGCUGUUAGGGAUAUGACAAUAAACUAAACACUCCAAGACCAGCA